CAGUAGGUUUCUCUAAACCUAGGUUCUCAACAGAAUUUGGAACAUCAGAGUUUGGAUUAGGUGGAUUCUUACCAGAUGUAUCAACAUUGUCCUCUGUAGCAUCAACGACUGGAGUGGGAGCAUCACUAGACGGUAACGGAUCAACAUGCAGUUCAGACAUGGUAUAGGACUUACUCGAUUCCGUUCGCGAUUUUUUGCUCUUCUUUUUUGAUUUCUUAAUUGAAGAGGAGGGAGAUGAAGGAUUCGCUCGUGAUGACCGUUCCUUCUUCGCAACAGACUUUCUUCGCAUCUUUGGACUUGUGAAAGGAAUGGAGUUAAGAGGAAUAGCGUU
rnacentral:lncRNA from 1 species